rnacentral:rRNA from 1 species
UCCCGGAGCUCAACUCCGGAACUGCAUCCGAUACUGCCAGACUUGAGUAAUGGAGAGGCAGGUGGGAAUUCUCGGUGUAGCAGUGAAAUGCGUGGAUAUCGAGAGGAAGACCAAUGGCGAAGGCAGCCUGCUGGACAUUUACUGACGCUGAGGUACGAAGGCCAGGGUAGCGAAAGGGAUUAGAUACCCCUGUAGUCCUGGCAGUAAACGGUGCGCGCUUGGUGUAGGAGGACUCGACCCCUUCUGUGCCGGAGCUAACGCGUUAAGCGCGCCGCCUGGGGAGUACGGUCGCAAGACUAAAACUCAAAGAAAUUGACGGGGACCCGCACAAGCGGUGGAGUAUGUGGCUUAAUUCGAUGCAACGCGAAGAACCUUACCAAGGCUUGACAUGUAUUGCUAAGCACGUGAAAGCGUGUGACCCUUCGGGGACCUUACACAGGUGCUGCAUGGCCGUCGUCAGCUCGUGUCGUGAGAUGUUUGGUUAAGUCCAGCAACGAGCGCAACCCCUGUGAAUAGUUGCCAGCACGUAAUGGUGGGGACUCUAUUCAGACUGCCCAGGUCAACUGGGAGGAAGGUGGGGAUGACGUCAGGUCAGUAUGGCCCUUACGCCUUGGGCUGCACACGUACUACAAUGCCCAGUACAAUGAGAACCGAGACCGCGAGGUGGAGGAAAUCUGCAAAACUGGGCCCAGUUCGGAUUGGAGGCUGCAACUCGCCUCCAUGAAGUUGGAAUCGCUAGUAAUGGCACAUCAGCUACGGUGCCGUGAAUACGUUCCCGGGUCUUGUACACACCGCCCGUCACAUCAUGGAAGCCGGUCGCACCCGAAGUAUCUGCGGCUAACUAUUUAUAGAAGCAAG